UUGAUAACUGACUUGUCAUCACGUAUUAUUGUAUUGACAACAUUAAUUGUCAUCAAUGUACGCAUUAUAAUAUUAGAUUCGUGCGAAAGAUGUGACUCACGCCACGUCUUGCAUCAAAUUACUGUUGUAUAUAAAGGCUUGUGCAUACUGUGUAAAGAACAUUAACAUUUCAAACCUCGUUUGAAACACAUACAAAACUUGGUGAAAAUUAACUCGCUUCAUUGUGAGAAUUUUUUAAUCGACUCAAGAAAUACUUUCGAAAUUAAACACGAGAUGGAUCAAUUUUGGGAUGAAAUGACAGAAGAUAUUGUGGACGUUCUGGGGAAACCGGUCAUCUCCAGAGAAAGAAGCAACUCUAUAGCGUCCAUUUUUGGUUUUGGUGAGAAGCGCGGAUCCACGGACUCGAGUGGAGGGUCAGACGCCCGUGGGUCUCAGUAUCCCGCCGCGCCACGCAUGAGCGUCGACUUCCUCCAGGACUACGCCCCUUUUGCCCCCAUUGCCAACACCCCGUCCCCUCAAAGCAAGUAGCACCAAUACUUCGAAAGACUUGCACAUUUAUUACUUGACAAUACGAUUAUUAUUAGAUACACCUACAUUUUUACAUUUGCUAAAUAUUAUCGUCGCCGUUCAUUUCAUGUAGAGUACAGGUUAAGCUUAUAAUACUAACUACCAAGAAUCUUCAAAUAAAUCAGUUGUUCCAUAAAAAAUU